rnacentral:lncRNA from 1 species
CUCUGAGAUUGGAGGUAAUGUAGUCCUCAUGACUAGUGUAGCGUUUGUACGGAGCUCCCAGUCGUCUCAUGGACUAUUGACUCGUACACCACUCAUCUGCUGCCACCAACCAGGUCCUCCCCGGUAAAUCACUUAGUCUCAGUCAGGUUCUCAAGUUAACAAUGAAGAGUGUAGUUUAUUGCAAUCGCAAAUAAACUUUAAAUGCAUUUGAAACGCUGUUACCUUUUACCCUCUUAGUCUUAUUUUAUCCUGUUUCUAACUCUUCUACCUCCCCUCACACAAGAACCAACUGCACUAACUGUCUCUCUGUUUCCAACGGUCUGCCAACUGCUUUCCCAACUGCCUUUCCCAACCAACCAACCAACCAACCAACCAACCAACCAACUAAAACCAACCAACCCAAACCUCGGGCUAAGCCCUUUUAUAAACAGGUAGGCUCCGCCUCUGGCUUUUCUAUUGAUCUACCUAUUAACUCUUUCUCUCCCCCUGUACAGAUAUUUCCAAAAGAACGGGCAAACGCCACAACUAGUAGCUACUGAUAGACUUAACCUCCAUGUGUUUGUCUCAUCCUCCUUUAAGGCCAUCACUACAUAUUGUGGCAAAUCCCUUAGUUUAGGGAUCCCGUGAGAUGAAGUACUUCUUUUUGUCUGCCCUGAAUCCAUCUGAAUCCAUCUGGGACCACGCUGGCUGGGAACAUAGGAACAGCACAGGAACCUGCCAUAUACUGGAUCAGACCAUUGGUCCAUCCAGUUCGGCACACCCAGUGGUGACUAGAAGCAACUCUCCUGCAUUUCAGGCAGGGGGACAUUCCCAACCCUAUUUGGAAAGGCCGGGAAUUGAACCAAAGACCAGUCCGGCAGUUCCUUCUGCCAUAUAAAAGCGCAGGCUUACCUUGAACCCAAAUACAUAAUCCAGACCAGCUUCCCCAUAGUGAUAUAACAGCAGCCUUUAAGCCACUGUGGGGAAAAGAGGUGGGUUGUCAGACUUCGGGGAAUCGGCUCUCCCGCCCCCCCUUGCUUACAAAUCGUUUAGCCUUUCCAAAUGCUCCACUGUAUAUUUCCUUCUAGUCUGUGGGGAACGAAAAUGAUUACAUGUUUAAUCAGCGCAUGGCACCCCACAACGUGAUUAGAUUUCCCUUUGCUAAUUUUUCAGCGGAGGCUUAAUAGCCGCUUGUGAUAACGAGAGCUCCUAUUAACAGCGUUUUCGUGGGUUCCUAUAUAAUAAGCCACAGUACUGAAAUUAAAACCCAGCUACACUUACAAUUAUUGCUGGAGAUGCAUUUUGUUCCCUUUUUAAAGAUAAAUCAAUCAAUCCAAGGACAUUUUCACAAUGAUGCUAAGAAUAUUUUUAAAAAUCUGGAAUGUGUUACUCAUAUAUCCAUAUAUAAUGUUUGAAAACUACGCUGUGGACAAAGCUGGGUUCCAGUAAGUGUGACAUUCUUAUAAUAUGGCAGACCUGGUUUCAGGCAGUUGGAUUUCAGCAAUUCUAGUCCAGCCAAGACAGAACUCAAUGAGGUCAUAAGAACAUAAGAAAGGCUCAGACCAAAGGCCCACCUAGUCUAGCAUCCUCUUCUCACAGUGGCCAACCAGUUGUCUGGUUCCUCGGGAAGAGGAAUUGGCUGUUAAAGCCCUAAACGGCCUCGGCCCAGUAUACCGUAUUUUUCGCUCCAUAAGACGCACUUUUUUCCUCCUAAAAAGUAAGGGGAAAUGUGAGUGUGUCUUAUGGAGUGAAUGGCGCUGCGCAGAGAGGGAGAGCUGCGCAGUGCCCCUUCAGCGAAGCACCUCUCCUGGCUUGUGCCUUAGCCGCAUGCAGCCUCUUCGGGCAGGGGGAGCUGCGCAGUGAUCCCGCUUGCUGUUCUGGCUUCUGAGAUUCAGAUUAUUUUUUUUCUUGUUUUCCUCCUCCCAAAACUAGGUGCACCUUAUGGUCUGGUGCGUCUUAUGGAGCGAAAAAUACGGUACCUGAAGGAGCAUCUCCACCCCCAUCGUUCAGCCCAGACACUGAGGUCCAGCUCUGAGGGGCUUCUGGUGGUUCCCUCACUGCGAGAAGCCAAGUUACAGGGAACCAGGCAGAGGGCCUUCUCGGUAGUGGCACACACCCUGUGGAACACCCUCCCACCAGAUGUCAAGGAAAUAAACAACUAUCCGACUUUUAGAAGACAUCUGAAGGCAGUCCUGUUUAGGGAAGUUUUUAAUGUUUGAUGUUUUAUCGUGUUUUUAAUAUUCUGUUGGGAGCCGCCCAGAGUGGCUCCGGAAACCCAGCCAGAUGGGUGGGGUAUGAAUGAAUGAAUAAAAUAAAAUAAAAAUAAUAAAGUAAUAAUUUUAAGCCACUCUGGGAAUUGUAGCCCUGUUAGGUGAAUAGGGGUCUCCUAACAACUCGUGGCACCCAUAACAAGCUGCACUUUCCAGGAUUCUAUGGGAUUUACUUAAAGUGGGAUAAUACUGCUUUAAAUAUACGAUGCAGAUGGAGCCGCAGUGUGGAGGGGCUCUUAAUGAUGGCCUUAAUACUGGACUUAAUGGUAUAAAGCCCUCUGCCUUUUCAUAAAGUGCAUUUCUUCACAUCAAAGUGUGGUGAGCUACCCCUGUUGGGUUUGUAGGCUCUCCCACUCAGCCUAACCUAAGGGCACCACUGCCUAUAGGUAUAACAUGGGGAAAUGUUUGGGCUCCAGCCCUUGGGAGAGAGUGGGAACAAAACGUAACUGAAACAAAGAUGGCCUGGACACAUCGAUUCCAGACGCUCCAAGUGUCCCUGUUUUCCAGGGACAGUCCCGGAUUUACAGAAACCAUCCUGGUUUCUGAUGUGACCCCUGAAUGUCCUGCUUUUCCUUAGGACGUCCCUAUUUUCACUGGAGAAAUGUUGGAGGGUGUUAAGUUAUGUGACCCCUGAGCCUUUGGAAGACACCUGAAGGCAGCUCUGUAUAGGGAAGUAUUUAAUGUUUAAUGUUUUGUUAUGUUUUUACAUAUGCUGGAAUCUGCCCAGAGUGGCUGGGGCAACCCAGUCAGAUGGGCAGGGUAUAAAUAAAAUAAAAUAAAAAUAAAUUAAAAAAUAGGGUGUCCCUAUUUUCAUUGGAUAAAUGUUGGAGGGUACGUGAUUUGGAUCUCAGAUCACUAGAGUGGCACAGUUUUGGCACAUGUGUGCAUUUGAUAUGGUAAUACACCCCCCACUCUCAAUGCCUAAAAAUCUGCUUUAUUCACUGUUGCCAAACACAAUCCAGAGCUCUGGCAGAAACAGAGUUUUCUAAAUUGCUUGUGCAAUACCUAAAUUAAAAAACAAACAAACCCGAACCAAAGAGUGGGAUGUGGGUGGGGGUGGGGGGCUUGAUCAGUUCAGGCGGGUAUAAAAAUGCCUCGUUCUUCACGUGGCUGAAGUCUCAUCGUUAUUAAAGCUCUCCCAGCAAUAACAGAACAUGAUGAGAGCAACUCAGGUAAAUAAAAAUCGCGGGAAUUUCCCCAGGGGAAAGACUUCAGCUGCGACAAGCUCUCCAGAAGCUGCUUUUGUAAUUCUUGCAGCAUUUUUUGAGUUUGCAAGGUGCCAGGUAUUGUUUCCUUUUAUUUGAAAAAAUAAAAUGCUGUCAGUACAUAGGAAGUUGCUGCCGGGUUGCCAAUUGGCCAGAAAAAAAACAGCCUCUACUCCUUUUCCUCUAAUGGAAGUUUGAUACGCAGAAGUCAGCAAGAGAUGCUGUUCAUGGCAUGGGUGGUUUCUUGUUGUAGGUGCCGUUUUGUUUCCUCCCUUCUUGUUUUUCUUUUUCUUUUGUUUCAAGAAAUCUGCUGGACCAAAUCAGACAAAUGAUUGCUAUAGCUCAGUACUAUCUCCAGUCAGGGAUGUAAGGCGGCAAGCAGUUUCUUUUUCUGACUUGUAUUCCUCACAUUCAGCUCACUGCUAAUGAAUGUAUGUUACAAUGCAAAUGAAACAUCAGAACAAUGUAAAAAUGUUAUUAAGUGCGUAGUCUUUGCAGACUUAAAAAUGACAACAAUGUAAACAAAUAAUGAUGAUGAUGAUGAUAAUGAUAAUAAUAAUAAUAAUAAUAAUAAUAAUAAUAAUAAUAAUUUAUUAUUUGUACCCCGCCCAUCUGGCUGGGUUUCCCCAGCCACUCUGUGCGGCUUCCAACAAAGAUUAAAAAUACAUCAAAAUGUCACACAUUAAACACUUCCCUGAACAGGGCUGCCUUCAGAUGUCUUCUAAAUGUCAGGUAGUUGUUUAUCUCUUUGACAUCUGAUGGGAGAGCAUUCCACAGGGCGGGCGCCACUACCGAGAAGGCCCUCUGCCUGGUUCCCUGUAGCUUUGCUUCUUGCAGUGAGGGAACCGGCAGAAGGCCCUCGGUGCUGGACCUCAGUGUCCGGGCAGAAUGAUGGGGGAAGAGACGCUCCUUCAGGUAUACUGGGGAGGGAGCCGGUGUUUGUCCACAGAGAACUUUCUGGGUCAUGUGGCCAGCAUGACUAAACUGCUUUUGGUGAAAUGGAACACCAUGAUGGAAACCAGAGCGCACGGAAACGCUAUUUACCUUCCUGCCGGAGCGGUACCUAUUUAUCUACUUGCACUGGUGUGCUUUCGAACUGCUAGGUUGGCAGGAGCUGGGACUGAGCAAUGGGAGCUCACCCCGUCGUGGGGCUUUGAACCUCUGACUUUCCAAUUGGUAAGCCCAAGACACUCAGUGGUUUAGACCCCAGCGCCACCCCAUGGUCACCAGGCCUGGCUUGGUAUGCCUCCAACAAAUGAGGGGGCUGAGGAAGCAGAGCACAGCACUGUUCAAUGGCAGGCUCCUCCUGGGCACAAGAAAGGAAGCUGCACUGGGCUGGGCUCCCUGCUCAGCCCCCUCCUGAUAAUGCAACGCCGUGCCCAUGACGUCAUGCGUGUGCCAUAUGUUUGCCUCUGGUCUACACUGACUGGCAGCAGCUCUCAGGGGUUUCAAACAGAAGGCCUUCCCAGUCCAGUAUACCUGUCCAGUCCAGUAUUCCCAGUCCUACUCAGAGAUGCUGAGGAAUGAACCUAGGACUUUCUGCAUUUGACCAUCUUGAAUUUUUCAACUUUCAGAUUCCAACUUUCAGGUUCCAAAAACAAGGGGUACUAAAAAGUUGUAACGUGAUUUGGGAAUUCAAAAUAUAUUUUGGCUCAAUUAAUACAGUGGUACCUCGGGUUAAGUACUUAAUUUGUUCUAGAGGUCUGUUCUUAACCUGAAACUGUUCUUAACCUGAAGCACCACUUUAGCUAGUGGGGCUGCCUGCUGCCACUGCUCAAUUUCUCUCCUUAUCCUGAAGCAAAGUUCUUAACCUGAGGUAAUAUUUCUGGGUUAGUGGAGUCUGUAACCUGAAGCGUAUGUAACCUGAAGAGUAUGUAACCCGAGAUACCACUGUAUAAUUUAGUUUUGCUUGGUAAGUGAAAUGUGUGUAAAACUGCAUAGAAAUCAUUAACAACAAUUGCCAAGUUGAGUCGUCGUCGUCUUCUUCUUCUUCUUCUUCUUCUUCUUCUUCUUCUUCUUCUUCUUCUUCUUCCUCAGCAUUGACUGGCCAUUUUCAGAAGGAUUUUUUUUAAAAAAAUGGUUUUCCAAAAGCAGUUUAUGUGCUUCUUCAUCAAACGUAGCCUUACCAAACUAAAUGUUGUCCAAUCACAAAAAUAAUAGCAGAUUUUAAUUCCUUCCACCCAGAAACAUAUUUUUAAGACCUCUCACUGAAGAAAUGUACAAAAAAUAUGUUUUACCCCCUAAACGACACACCCUACUUCUGCAUGCAAAGCGGACCCCCCACAAUCGAGCUACAACUCUUUCGUUCUUCCCUCUCAUUACAAUUUCCUUUUCUGUAUAAGUUGCUCAGGGCUGCCAAGGGCUAGACAAAAUUGUUCUAGUGAUUGUAUAUAGUCCUUGGUCGGCUGGUUGGUGUGCCCUGAUUUAAAUUAUGCCUUGCAGUCUUAAGCAGAAGUUUUAUAACCCACCCCCUGCCCAAAUAAAUCCUUUCACCACUGCUUCACCCAAGCAGUUUUGAAAAUGUCAGGAAAGUUGAGAAAUAGCAAUGCAUUCUAGUUACUAGUUAUGCCAAGCAGAAUUAAGCGUUUCAGGGUUAUCUGCCAUGAAACACAACUGUAUGCUGACCUAACCAAGAUAAAUGAGACCCCCAAACCUCAUAUCGAAACUCUUAAUAUUCUGCCCUGCAGUGUUUCAAUAAGGUCUUUGCUGAUGAGACAUUUAAAUAAACGCUGAACAUGCUUCUCAAGAAAAAUAAUAACAAUGAUAGCUUAAAUUCUAUUAUGGGAGAAAGGAGAUUAACCAGAAUUUCUUGCCAUCUUCACGUAUUUGGGCUUGCAAGCUUAAAAGACCCAGGCAAGCAAGGGCACAGAGUCAGCCUCAGCGCUGAAUGCAUCCUGUCCACAACCUCGUGCAGUGGUACCUCUGGUUACAUACUUAAUUCGUUCCGGAGGUCCGUUCUUAACCUGAAACUGUUCUUAACCUGAAGCACCACUUUAGCUAAUGGGGCCUUCUGCUGCCACUGCGCCGCUGGAGCACGAUUUCUGUUCUCAUCCUGAAGCAAAGUUCUUAACCCGAGGUACUAUUUCUGGGUUAGCGGAGUCUGUAACCUGAAGCAUAUGUAACCUGAAGCGUAUGUAACCCGAGGUACCACUGUACUCCCAAACUAUGAACCUCCUUCCCUCAUCCACACACCUAAUUCCUGAACGCAGAAAACACCCAUCCACAGCACUGCCAUCUUAUCAGGAUUCAGCCUCAGGUUCCAAGUCCUCACCCAGCCCUUCACUGACCAUAAUAAAUCACACAGAGUAAAAGAAGUUAACUCUUUAUUAGAGGAAACAAGGUCUGCUCAGGAGUGGCAGGUCUCUUGAGUGUAGCAACUCUUCUCCAUAGGUCUGUCCCCUAUGUGGCUGUUGUGGAGACUGAAGGUCCCAGCCUUCCCACAGCUGCCUAAGUCUCCUCCUUCCCCGGGUCCUUCCCAAGCAAUCUGAGACUAUGCCAGCACAUCUACCUUUGCUCUUCCCACUUCAUACCUCACCUGGUUCUGGGAGACCAGCAGGGAGGGGAGUUUAUCGCAGCAGGAGUGGGAGACAACCCUGGCUUCUUCACCAGCCUGACUCAUCUUUGCUUCUUGGGCUCCCUCCUUUCAGCUUCCAACACCUCCUUCCUGCAGGCUUCUCUCUCUUCUCCUUCUGACUGCUCAGUGUCACCCCACUACCAUCCCCCAGGCUCUGAACCUUCUUCCCUUGGGGGUUCCCCAGCUGAUGCCUCUGUGUCCAGCCAUCCCCAGAAGAACUGCCUCCAGACCCUGGUCCAACACCUUCACAGCAUCUCCUGAUUCAGAAGGAAUGGAGAAAUAGAACCAUGUGUCAUCAGCAUACUGGUUGCCCCAUGCUCCAAACCCCUGAAUGAUGGCUCCUAGUGGUUCCAUAUAUAUGUUAAAUAGCAAAUGAGACAAAAUGGACCCUUGUGGGAACCCCACAGCCCCAAAGCCAUGCAGCUGAGCAACCAACUCCUUGAAUUACUUUCUGGUAGCAACCCUGUGGACAGGAGAAGAACCACUGUCAUACUUGUGGUGGCUAUAUGAGAAUGGGCCUUUUCUGUAGUGGCUCCCUGUUUGUGGAAUGCUCUCCCUAGGGAAGUUCAUCUGGUGCCUUCAUUGUCUAUCUUUAGCCACCAGGCAAAAACGUUCCUCUUCAACCAGGCCUUUGACUGAUUUAUGUCUUGUUAAAUGUGUUUGUGUCUGUGCUUAUGUGUGAUUAUUGGUUGUUUUUGUUUUCCUUAUAUACUUUGUGGUUUUGUUCUAUAUUUUUAUAUUGUGGACUGCCCUGAGAACUUCAAAUGAAGGCCAGUAUAGAAAUAAUAAUAAUAAUAAUAAUAAUAAUAAUAAUAAUAAUACAGUGGACGCUUGGGUUGUGAACGUGAUCUGUGCGGGAAGCACGUUUGCAACCCGCAGCGCCGUGUCUUGUAUUGUAUUUUGUUAUGAGCUGCCAUAGGCUGCUAUGGGAGAAUGGACAGUACAGUGGUACCUCAGGUUACAUACGCUUCAGGUUACAUAUGCUUCAGGUUACAGACUCCGCUAACUCAGAAAUAGUACCUCGGGUUUAAACCUUUGCUUCAGGAUGAGAACAGAAAUCGUGCUCCGUCGGUGCAGCGGAAGCAGGAGGCCCCAUUAGCUAAAGUGGUGCUUCGGGUUAAAAACAGUUUCAGGUUAAGAACGGACCUCUGGAACGAAUUAAGUACUUAACCCGAGGUACCACUGUAGAAUAGAAUAGAAUAGAAUAGAAUAGAAUAAUAUUUCCCCAGCACACACUGGAUGGAUGAAGACAAGGGUACCCCUGAACAUGUUAAAAAGGCUUUCUCCCCCCCAACCAUGGAUUCCCCCACAGCCAGCUACAUUACAUCUGGAGCCAAUGGGCAGGCUCAGCAUUUUCUCCUCAUAAAUCAGAUCUGCACAACUUGCGGCCUGCCAAGCUGAACGCAGACCAAGCCGCAGCUCAGCAGGCAGUUCCAUAAACCUCCUAUGGGCGAGGUUUGGUCCAGUGGGUCACAGAUUGUGUAGGGCAGUCAUAACCGAAGCAGCAGCUCAGAAAGACCACAUUAUAGCAAACCUUUACACUAUUCCUGAGUUCCCCCCGUCUCCCUCUCUCUUUUGAAUCACCUAUUCUGUUUUAAUAAGUAGCGAAAUUAAUUUAUAUUCUGACCUUGCAAUGGUUGUGAUCUGCAAUAUUUUCACUUUGUUCUGUUCUGCUUGGCGUACUGCUACCCUCCGUCCCCCAUUACUGCUGAGCUAAUCUGAUGGAUGUGCUGCAUAAUUCCAUUUAGCAUGUCCUUUCGGUCUCAAUUCUCUUUUCCCUUUGAAAUCCUAGACAUUUCAGUGAAUAUGAAAGCGUAGCUAUAUGUAGGGCAAACGGUGCCCUUUCAAGCCUUCUUUUGCUAGGAGCACACUGCUUCCUCUCAAAAGCAGACAGCUUUGCAGGGAGACAGAGGCGUAGAUCACCCGUUGUUGUUGGAUGAGGGCAGGGGGAGGGAGCUGCUAUUCAGCAAUUAACAUUUGUUUAAAUAUUUUGAAUUGAGCAAAAGCUGAAGACUAGAAACAUGAAUUUCCCUCACUACUUCGUCAAUCAAGACAAAGGGCUGCGUGCCAUCUUCCACAGUAGAAGGCUGUGCACACGCUAUGCCUUUAAAACACACUCCUCCCCUCAAAGCAUUCUGGGCACUGUAGUUUCUUAAGUGUUGCUGGGAAUUAUAACUCUGGGAGGGGUUGUGAUGUUAACAUAUGAGAGUGCUGGAGGUGAAAUAGUUAAACAGGUUACCCAAUCAGAACCCAGGGGGUGGAGUCAGAGGGACUAUAAAACCAGCUCCGGGAGGGGCGAAGGGAGGAGUUUGUUGGGUGGUUGGUUGGAGUGGGAAUGAAUUGGGAUAGAGCCUGUGGGUAGGUUGAGUUAGUGUAGCGAAAUAAGCUGAGUCAGGAACAGUUAGGGGCUAGGAAGACAAGUAAAUAUCUGAGAGGUGGUUUAGUGAGUGAGAGCAGGUAGAGGAAGUUAUAGGUCUGGAUAGGCACCCCAUGAUUGUAAUUGACCGAUACCGUUUAUGAAACCACACGCUUGUUAAACUGCAAUAAAUAAACAGAAGUUUAUGUUCCAAUUUAACCCUGACUGGACUCAGUAUUGUACCAGGUAGGGCCUGGGUGGUGGCAGCAAGAAAUAAAGUGGUGGCACAGGGAUCAAUAGACGGUGAAACGUCCAGGGACCCUGUGUGAUCGCCACAGGGAUAAACUACAGUGCCCAGAAGUCUGUGAGGCAAAGAACAUGCAAAUGUGCCAGUGUGGUAUAUAUGAACGACAUCUUGAGCUUCUUGGAGGAAAAGCUGGGAUAGAAAUGAAUAAAUAUACCCCCCCACUCAACCAAGGCCUGAAUCCACCCCCAUGGGCCCGAUGUGGCUCAUGUCUCUGGCCUUUGCCCGAUCCCGCACACAGCCCUAAAUUCUGCUGCUCUCCUCCGUAUACUAAAUUCAGAAGCCAAUUUGACUGAAGUCAGUGGGGUUUGCUUCCAAAUGUUCCAAAUGAAUCCCAUUGGUGGGGAAAGAUGAAUUAUUCCAGCCACUCAAGAACUGGGACAAGUCCCUUGAAACACGGCGUCUGGUGCCACUAGGAGAUGUAAGCUUAUUCCCCCCGCCCUUCCUAAAAUUCACUUCCCUAAGCCCUCGCUAUUCCUGCUUGUUGUAAGCAUUCGUUUUAUUCAUAAUUCAAGCAAAGUGUGUGGGUGGGGUGGGGGACGACGACACCCCUCCAAGAGUCUUAUCUGGAUGCAUUCCAUUUAUUAUGCAUUUGAGGAGUUUGCUUAAGAUGCUGAACACACAAAAGACUGAUAAAUGAGAACAUGUUGGGCUCGCUAAGAAAUGUAGCUAAUAAGGAGCAGAUUAGAUAAUCCAUUUCUUUCUGCGGCAGGGCAGCAACUCCUGCAACAGAUCCAGCUCUUCCAUCAUUUACUUCCAAGUAAGUCCCACAAAAAUCAGCGAGACUUACUUCUGAGUAAAGAAGCUUAUUCCUUUGAAAUUUUUUGUGUGUGUGUAUAUACACAUACACACACUGCUUAGGGAAGUUAAAUAGUUUUGAUGGAAACUGGAGCAAAAAUUUGCUUAUUUGCCCCAGCAUGGAAAGCCAUCUUGCAUUCGCUGUUUUUUUCUUUUCCAGUCUGCAGACAAUAUGUAAUUUAUGAGUCCCCCCCCCCCCCCAAUUUGCACUGUGUUUCCUUUCCAUUGAAAGGAAUAGGGUGGAAUAAUGUGGUAAUGUUACAGCAAAUGAUGUGAAAUUCUGCCACAGGCAAGGCUAAUAACAUAGUUUUUGCCGGAAACUGCAGCAGAAUGGAAACAGGGAGGAAGAAAGUAGGAAUGGAAAUGGAUGCCUAUUUACAUUUGUAAUAAUACUGAUUAUUUUAGCUGCUUUCAGUACCAUCAGCCAUUGUAUGCUUCUGGGUCACCUUGUCAGAAUAAAGCUUGGAGGCUCAGUCCUUUCAUAGAAUCAUAGAACUGUAGAAUUUGGAAGGGACACUGGGGGUCAUUUCAUCCAACCCUCUGCAAUCCAGGAAUUCUGCUCACAGCCAUCCUUGGGUGGACUCAAACCACCAAACAUCUGGUUAACAGCCAGACACACUGACCCAUUGCUGCACCGGGCAUUCCCAGAAGGCAGUGCUGGGAGUCACUUUCCCCGCCCUGUGGUUUUGGGCUUAGUCAAAUCACACCUCUUUGCAUUUUUCAGAUUUCUAAUUGGCCGCAGGGGCUUGUCCGGUCGAUAGGCACCUUCCAGACUGUCACCGUUUUCAAGUAGGGUUCAGUCACAUACCAACCAAUUUGGGUUGUGCAAUUACACUCGUUUGGGGACAUUGCCAUGAAGUGAAAAGUUUCCUGUUGUUUGUGCGGUUUGAGCAUAUUACAUAGAUACUGCCUCAACUGCACUGACUGCCAAUUAGUUUUGGGGUGUGCUGCUUUUGACUUAUAAAGCCUUAAACAGCCCAGAAGCGCAAUACCUCAAGGACUGCCUCUCCCAUAUGAACCGACCCAGACCCUGAGAUCUGUGGGAUGUGAAACACAAGAGCAGUCAAGUACAGCAUUCCUAGAGUGAACAUGUUUACACAUGGAGAGGAAUGUUUGUCCAGCCAGCAGGUAAACUUCCUGUUUCCUUCUGGGCUGGGACAGACUUCCUCUGCAUGUGACUAGGGGUGGGUGUGGCCUCACCUGUUCAGGUAACGACAAAAGCACAGGGCAGGGCAGCCAUCUCUCUCUCUUUGACUACAUGUGACAAAGAAGCGACAUCUGCUUAGUCAAAGAUGCUCUCUUGGCCUCCAGCCAAGAGAGGACAAAUGACCUGUCUCCUUAUGAGAUAGUUUCCAGGGGUAUGCUACUUUUCUAAGCUAAGUCUGCCUUCUAGGAUCCAACUGUAAACAGAAUGUGAGUAAACUCUUUUUAUACUUUUAUAGAAGACUGUGUUGUGUCUUAUCUUUUAUGAGCGAAUAAGGGGAAAAUACCAGAACAGUUAUUAUAGAGGCUUUAGCGAGCCUGAGCAAACGCAUCUGCUGUGAGUUUAAAAAGGGGAAUGUUACUCUGCUAAAUUAUGAGCUUGUUAACACAAGUUGGAAAGGCUAUAAUCAAACAAUAUAUCCUCUCCUGUAUCCCUGAACAUUCCCACAAGAUCAUCUUCUGAGGCCCUUCUUUGUGUGCCUCCUCCAUGAGAGGUCUGGAGCGUGGCAACACAAGUGUGAGCCUUCUCUGUAGUGGCGCCUUCAUCAUAUACUUUUAGGUGUCAGGUGAAAAUGUUCCUUUUCAACCCGGCCUUUGGCUGAUUAAUAGUCUACAGCCUUUUAAAUGUGCCUGUGGGAAGGGAGUUAUCGUUUUGCUCUUUCGUUUUGUUUAUUUACCUGUUUUUAUCCUGCAUUUUAUUCUGUGAACUGACCUGAGAUCUUCUGAUGAGGGGCGGUAUAGAAAUCUAAUAAAUAAAUCAAUAAUAAAUAAAUCAAACCGUAAGGGUAGGCCACAGAGCUCUGCAAGAGCCACUGAUAUCUGCGAGUCUGGUUUUGCCAUCAUGAGGCAUCUUUACCUGAUGCACACCUGAUGCCAGGUGUAGGGUGAGUGGGUGUGGCUUGGGAAAAGUGGCUUUAUGGGCCAAAUCAUGAACCCUGCCAGGCCAAAGAGGCCACAGGCAGAGGUUCUCCACCAAUGCCUUAAAAUCAAGGAUGGGGAAUCUGUGGGCCUCCAAGUAUUGCUGGACUCCAAUUCCCAUCAGCCCCAGCCAGCAUGCCCACUGAUGAGCAAUGAUGGGGGUUGUAGUCCAACAAUAGCUGGAGAACUAGAGGUUCCUCAUUGCUGCCUUAGCUGGAUACUGCCCUGUCCCCUUUUAAAAUGUUUCCCCUCUCUCUAACUUUACAACAACCGCUUUAACACACAGUAAAUUCUUGAUCCUUCUCUCUCCCUCCCUCACUCCCGUCCUUCUAUACAUUUUUUGGUUGGCUCGGAUCACACUGACCUAAUUCUAUCCAUCAACUCCUUGCCUCCUCCCGAGUUUUGCAAACUCUGUACCUUGCGAUCCUAUCUUUUCAGCGUGACUGGCAAGAUCCACUGACAGCCACCAAGUUGGAGGGGGCCACAAGCGCUCGCUCUAAAUUUAAUUCCGCAUGCUCGCUGUGAUGCACUGCCAGUCACUGGAAUAUCUUGGAGCUGGGACCCCUUCCAGGCUUAGGAUAACAUCGCCGUUUACCCACAAUUCUGCUCAUUUCCAUACAGACUGUAAGCCAAGCCGCAUAACCAAUUGCUUGUCUGGAUAUGACAGUAAUUGUAUGCAAUUCAGCCUUCAAAGUUUCUUCUAACAAUCUCACAGAUCCCUUUCCUAUCACUUUGACAUGUCUCCACUUGGUGCAUUAUUCUCCAGCGAUGACAAUGUUAUCUCUCUAGCAGAUGUUAAUACCCACAUGGAAAGCUCCUGGAACGUCCUAUUAUUUGCUGUAAUUUUCUCCCUCUGUUUCCUGUGUGUGAGAGAGAGGGGGGGAAGAGAGAGAGAGAAUGGUUUAGAAGUAAAUUAGGAAAAGAAGAAUCCUUUUCACUACACAAGGAAACAAACAGGGCGAAAGGAGAACGAAUUGGGUACAGUGGAUUGAAUUUGGAUCAAGGGCACCUGAACUCAAAUCACUGGGGAAUGGACCAAUGGGUUGUCAGUUGGUAGCCUUUACAAGACCACAGAAGCCUUACCUACAACAUAGAGUUGUUGAGAGAUGCAAAAGUUAUUUGUUUAGUAGUUAGUUCCCAUCCUACUUUCCAGACAUCCCACGACUAGUGGAAUCUUUAAGGAAUUGCUGGGGCCCUGUUGGCAUGGCAGCGCCAUCGUUGACCCCACUCCUGCCCUGCGUCUCUGAGAAGAGGGAGAACUAAAUGGAGCAGGUCCUUUGGCAGAGGCGAUGGAGUUGCCCUGCUGAUCUUCACCUCCACAGCAGCCAGAUGGAAUAGCUGAUGCUAGAUGUCAGACGAAGGAGGGAGGAGUGCAGUGGAGCUUCCGUCUUCCUUUCAACAUAGGUUGAGGGUGUUCUGCUGAGGAGCAGAGCCUGUGCAUCAGUUGUCUCAGUGUUGUGAAAUGAACUUUCUCCAGGAACUGCAAUUUACUGCUCUUCCAGAGGGAGGUAACAACAUUUUUAUUUAUUUAUUGCAACAUUUAUUUAUUGUUACAUCCCAUCUUUCCUCCAAGGAGCUAAAGGGAGUGUACAUUUAUCUUCAGAACAACCCUGUGAGGUAGGUUAGGCUGAGAGACAAUGACUGGCCCAAGGGUACCCAAGGAGCUCUAUGGCAGAGAAGGGAUUCGAACCCUGCUCUCCUAGGUUCUAGUCCAACACUCUAGCAACAUGGGCAGCAGAAUGACGUAUGGCAAGGGGGUGUGUGUAACACACACACACACACACACUUGAUUCCCUUGUUUGUUCAUAUUGGUGUUAUGUUCUGUUUUUGUUGACCAUUGAGUUUAUAUUUACACUACACUGUACUGUUCAAAACCUUGAAUACUGGAAGCCUACCUGUGAUAGUGAGUUUCUCCGAAUUGGUGAGCUCCCCUAUGGUUUUUGGUUGAGGAAUACUCUUGAUCAGUGGACAGGAAUAGAAUAAUAAUAAUAAUAAUAAUAAUAAUAAUAAUAAUUAUUAUUUUUAUUUAUAUCCCGCCCUCCCCAGCCGAAGCCGGGCUCAGGGCGGCUAACAACAAAUAAUCCAAUAAAUAAUCCAACAAUCCAAUCAAUUGGAUUGGAUCUUCUGCAGCAUCAGAUUUAGGGCAAUGUGGGCUGUUCCUCUGCACAGGGAGCUGAGGUGAGGGGGAGCAAAAUUUAGAAGGUCCAGCACUUCUUUUCCAGCCAGAACUCGCUGGAACUGAGUUCUGGCACCUCUCAGGUGGGUGCCAUUGUAAUUAUAAGAGAACAAGUUCAUGGUGAGUUCUGGUACCUCUUUUUCUAGCAAAAUAGCACUGAGAAGAUCCAUAACUGAGAAUAUCCAUUUGGUGGUGCCAAAUGUUGGCCUUGCUCAGGGUAUUACCAUAUUACCAAAGAUUACCAAAGUCCACCCCUGAUCUUCUGAGACUUCCAUCACGUUAUACAGACAUUCAAAAGUGAUGAAAAUGGGUUAACUUUCGCUGGAGCUCCCUGCUUCCCCCUUAUGUUCACACCUCCUUCCACAUAAGAACAUAAGAAAAGCCCUGGUGGAUCAGGCCCUAUCUGUGUGGGGCAGAGGUGCUACUCUGGCUUCCCAGCAGGUAGGUCGCUGCUGCUUACUGGGACAAGUUAACAGGGAGCCAGGAGCAGUGCAAAUGUACUGUCAGAGCCAAUCUGGGAAGCAAAAAUGACCUCCUCUAACUGGGAAGUUUUGUCGCUGUUCUGCCCCACCUCAACAGGGAAGUAUUAGGGGUUUGUAUGCUCUGUCCCACCUGCUGCUUAUGCCUUCAAGGGGAGUGUAACCCCACCCAGAAGAAGGAAGCCUUCUAUAUUGAGUCUCGUCUUAUUGGCUGUCAUCCGGCCCUGGGAUGAGGCCAUAAAGCAUAACUUCCAGGGAGGCUCCUGCCAGACUUCUUCUCAGACAUUAACUGCUGUUGGCCGCGGCUGCUUGUUUCAGAACAAAAGCAGAGGAGAGACACUGGCACGACUGUUGCUGUCCUUGUAAUUCAGUUUAUGGGAUCAAUGGAGCUGUCUGGAGCCACCUUGGAUGGAGUGUCAUAAUUGAAAUCAAUGAGUUUAUGCCGAGUGAAAAAUCACCUUACGAACAAGCUGGGCUCACAAUCGCACUCAGUCCGAGAAAGAGCAGCUUCUUUAUUAGAUCUUUAUGAAACAAAAGCCCGCCUUCGUAUGGCAUUCCCACACUCUAUAAUAACAUAAAAGGGCUGAUAAAUACCCAAAGUGUACCUUUCAGGUUUUCUGCAAUUUAGCAGAAUUUUCAUGCCCGUAAUCUACUUUCCUUGCUCAGCAUCUACUUGGAACUUUUUGGAUUUUUUUUUUUUACAGCCCCAGAUCUCCUGUUCAUAACAGACAAUUUAUGAUCCCGCAGCCUGAAUCGUAAGUGCUGGUAAACAGGUUCUUGGGGAAGAUUUAAGUUAGGAGGACAGCGCCUAUAAAGAGGAACAAGAAUUCAUUACAUUUCGCAGAUGGAGCCGAUAAAAGGAAGAAAAAAAAUCCAUAUCUUUGGGCAGCUGUGAAAGGGGGAAAAAAAGAAAGAAAACCUGAAACCUUCACAAUGCACUGUGGUUCUGUUGCAAAGCUUUAUUCAAAUGGUCUGUGAAAGUUUUAAAUCAAUGGUUUAUUGGAGCAGAGGGGAAAGGAGAACUAAGCAGCGCUUUUUAAUGGCACAGCCCUUGCCCACCAUGAUUUGAACGAUGCUGAAAUUGUAUAUAUGGCAUCACUGGAAUUAAAAAGAUGAGGCUUGCAAAGCACUGUGUUCAGACAGCUAAUGCUUGCUUGCAGCUCACUUUGAUGGCUCCUCCCUUCUGAUGCUCAUGGGUUUAAUCUGUGUAUAGGCAAAAGAGCACCCAUGUAUGCAAUCUAUUAUAAUUAUUUUAAUUUAUUACCCACUGUUCCCUUCAAGGUCCCAUGUCUGGUAGGAGCAAAUUAUAACACAACAUCUGGCGAAAAAACAGGAAAGACUGCUAGGCAGGCUGCAAUUUAAUGACCCCUGGGAGCGGGGCCCAAGUGUCCCCAUUGGCUGGGAAUGCCUGUCCAAGGGAUGCCGACAUUGGCCAGUAUCUGACAGCUGGGCGAUCUGGCCUGCCAUUGGUCGGAUCACUUGUGGGCCCGGGCCCUGGCUGCAACACUGUCCACCAAUGAGGGUGAGCGAACUUAUAACACAACAUCUGGAUGAAAUCACUGGAUGAGGUUACUAUUAGAUGGCUUUGUAGCUAGUUCCUCAUCAUCCUGGAAAAAAGGGACAAUCAGAUGGCCACCUCUUGUGGAUGCGUCUUCUUUUGUUUAGUUUUAGUUUUUUGUUUAUACUUUUCAAAUUUAUACAUUCCAUUAGUUUUAUAAUCAAUUUUACAUUUCAAAAUUUGACUUCGCUUUCUGCGGUUCCUUAAAUUUACUUUUAAAUAUCUUCUGCAUAUCCAAAUUCAUUUAACUUGCUCCUUUAAUUAUCUACUGUAAAUAUAUACACUUAUAAAACUGCAGGUUAUUACAAUAAUCC